GACGAACGCUGGCGGCGUGCUUAACACAUGCAAGUCGAACGGAAAGGCCCUGCUUUUGUGGGGUGCUCGAGUGGCGAACGGGUGAGUAACACGUGAGUAACCUGCCCUUGACUUUGGGAUAACUUCAGGAAACUGGGGCUAAUACCGGAUAGGAGCUCCUGCUGCAUGGUGGGGGUUGGAAAGUUUCGGCGGUUGGGGAUGGACUCGCGGCUUAUCAGCUUGUUGGUGGGGUAGUGGCUUACCAAGGCUUUGACGGGUAGCCGGCCUGAGAGGGUGACCGGCCACAUUGGGACUGAGAUACGGCACAUAGUCCUACGGGAGGCAGCAGUGGGGAAUAUUGCACAAUGGGCGGAAGCCUGAUGCAGCAACGCCGCGUGCGGGAUGACGGCCUUCGGGUUGUAAUCCGCUUUCGCCUGUGACGAAGCGUGAGUGACGGUAAUGGGCAAAGAAGCACCGGCUAACUACGUG
rnacentral:rRNA from 1 species